AGUGAACGCUGGCGGCGUGCCUAACACAUGCAAGUCGAACGGAUCUUAAGGGCUUGCUCUUAAGGUUAGUGGCGCACGGGUGAGUAACACGUAGCUAACCUGCCCCAUAGUAAGGGACAACAGUUGGAAACGACUGCUAAUACCUUAUACUCCUUCUCUACCUAAGUAGAGUCGGGAAAGUUUUUUCGCUAUGGGAUGGGGCUGCGGCCUAUCAGCUUGUUGGGGAGGUAAUGGCUCACCAAGGCUAUGACGGGUAGCUGGUCUGAGAGGAUGAUCAGCCACAUUGGAACUGAGACACGGUCCAAACUCCUACGGGAGGCAGCAGUGGGGAAUUUUACACAAUGGGCGAAAGCCUGAUGUAGCAACGCUGCGUGGAGGAUGAAGGAUUUAGGUUCGUAAACUCCUUUUAUAAGGGAAGAAAUUUGACGGUACCUUAUGAAUAAGCACCGGCUAACUCCGUGCCAGCCGCCGCAGUAA
rnacentral:rRNA from 1 species